rnacentral:tRNA from 1 species
GGGGCUGUAGUUAAAUAUAACAUUUGGUUUGCAUCCAGAAGGUGUUGGACCCCAACCAGCCUUA